CAAAAGUUAAACUGAGCUGAAUUUAUAAAGGCUGUGUUGAAAUCCAUCUACCUGAAAACACUCCAUCCGUCUUAGUGUGAGAUAUCGUCAGAUCAAAAGGAGACCAUGAAUCAUCAGCAGGGCUCAAAACAAUUUAAAGGUUCAGAGAGACAACUCAUGCCUUCGGGACAAAAUCAAGCUGUCAAAAUAUUCCAGGAAUUUAUGGACCAGCCUUUUGAAGAGACAGAAAUUAUUGUGAGGGGCAAGAAACGUGUGCGUGCUAAGGAUGGAUCACAGUGCACCAUUAGAGAAGAACACAAAUGGACAAUAGCUGGGGAAUUGGACCUCUGGUAAAGGAAGUAAUGAUCAAAUUUCCACAACCUGCCAUAAACUGUGUUGCUUAUUAACAAGUUCUUGCAUAAAUUAAAUCAGUAACCUAGUCUUUAAAACAGGAUGUACAACAUUUUGAAUAAAAUGAGAAGAUUUACCAUUUGUUAACUGCAUUCAGUUAAAUAUAUAAAACAUAGAUUUAACUCUAAUGAUUAUUGGAAGACUUUCCUCAUAAAACCAGAUUGUGGUGUCUGUAAAAGCCAAUUCUGAAAAACAAGAAAAAUCAUUACAUAAUAAAAGUAGUUAAAGUGAAAUUUAAGUUUUAGUUAAAAUGAGAAAAAUUAAUAUAAAUGAGUUACUGAUGCAAAAAGUCUCUUUCUCUCAGCUGUGAUUAUUUCUCUUCUUUAGGACUUUGUAAAGAAUAUUUACC